rnacentral:rRNA from 1 species
UAUCAAUAAGCGGAGGAAAAGAAACUAACCAGGAUUCCCCUAGUAACGGCGAGUGAACAGGGAUUAGCCCAGCACCGAAGCCUGCGUCCGUUUGGGCGUUGGGCAAUGUGGUGUUUAGGUUGGCGUUCUUGGCUGCUACUCCAUUCCAAGUCCAAGCUUGAAUAUGGCUCAACUUGGCCCACAGAGGGUGAAAGGCCCGUUGUGGAUGGGGUGGUGGCUGAUUGUGCUGACCGUGGAGUCGGGUUGUUUGAGAAUGCAGCCCAAAGUUGGUGGUAAACUCCAUCUAAGGCUAAAUACUGGCACGAGUCCGAUAGCGAACAAGUACCGUGAGGGAAAGUUGAAAAGUACUCUGAAGAGAGAGUAAACAGUGCGUGAAACCGCUUAGAGGUAAACGGGUGUAGUCAAGCUGCAAGCCGUGAGAAAUCUCCGGGUUAGUUGGCGUGAGCCUGAGCACACUCAACGGUGGUAGGUCUGUCCGUAAGGAUGGGUUGGGCACGCAAGUGUCUGAUUGGCGUAUGCCUGCCUUCUGUCGGUGUUCGGCUAGCCCGGCCACUUUCUCAUGGCGUAAGUCACGACCGUCGUUGUCGUCGGUCCGCUUUGUCUAAACCGUGUUGUGGAUAGCCUUGUGUUGUCUGUGAUACGGGGGCAGGUAGCCAGUUCAGCUUCUGUUGGACAGGUGUAAUCUUGCUGGGCAGAGUGGGUUCAAACCGUGCGAUGCGACGUGGCUAGCGGUGACCGAGUGUUAGCUCGCCAAUGUCUUCCGGUGCGGCGUGAGUUUGGCUGCCUGUUGCUAUCUCUGAUGGCCUGGCGGUGGCUCUGCUGUCACUAGUGGGCGGCGUUGUUGAUGUCGGCUUUACGUUGUGCCUAUAGUCUGUGGCGUAGUGGUAGACGAUCCACCCGA